AUUGAACGCUGGCGGCAGGCCUAACACAUGCAAGUCGAGCGGUAGAGAGAAGCUUGCUUCUCUUGAGAGCGGCGGACGGGUGAGUAAUGCCUAGGAAUCUGCCUGGUAGUGGGGGAUAACGUUCGGAAACGGACGCUAAUACCGCAUACGUCCUACGGGAGAAAGCAGGGGACCUUCGGGCCUUGCGCUAUCAGAUGAGCCUAGGUCGGAUUAGCUAGUUGGUGAGGUAAUGGCUCACCAAGGCGACGAUCCGUAACUGGUCUGAGAGGAUGAUCAGUCACACGGGAACUGAGACACGGUCCAGACUCCUACGGGAGGCAGCAGUGGGGAAUAUUGGACAAUGGGCGAAAGCCUGCUCCAGCCAUGCCGCGUGUGUGAAGAAGGUCUUCGGAUUGUAAAGCACUUUAAGUUGGGAGGAAGGGUUGUAGUUUAAUACUCUGCAAUUUUGACGUUACCGACAGAAUAAGCUCCGGCUAACUCUGUGCCAGCAGCCGCCGUAA
rnacentral:rRNA from 1 species